GACGAACGCUGGCGGCGCGCUUAACACAUGCAAGUCGAGCGAGAACCAGGGCUUCGGCCCUGGGGACAGCGGCGAACGGGUGAGUAACACGUGGGUAAUCUGCCCUCGGCACCGGAAUAGCCCGGGGAAACCCGGAUUAAUGCCGGAUGGCCCCUUCACCUCGCGAGGUGUCGGGAAAAGGUAGCUUCGGCCUCUGGCCGAGGAUGAGCCCGCGGCGGAUUAGCUUGUUGGCGGGGUAACGGCCCACCAAGGCGACGAUCCGUAGCUGGUCUGAGAGGACGAUCAGCCACACUGGGACUGAGACACGGCCCAGACUCCUACGGGAGGCAGCAGUGGGGAAUCUUGCGCAAUGGGCGAAAGCCUGACGCAGCGACGCCGCGUGAGGGAAGAAGGCCUUCGGGUUGUAAGCCUCUUUCAGGAGGGACGAAGCUACUCGGGUGAAUAGCCCAGAGGGUGACGGCACCUCCAGAAGAAGCCCCGGCUAACUACGUGCCAGCCGCCGCCGUAA
rnacentral:rRNA from 1 species